UCUACUCUCUAUUUGCAUGUGUGUGUGUGAGUGCAUAUGCAUGUUGGUGAGGAAGAGGAAGCAGGAAGCAGAGGUAGUAGCAGCAGCAGCAGCAGCAAAUAGCCCCUCUGAACGUCGGCGCCACUGUGCGAGAGAAACGGCAACACACAGAGACGAAAGGGGAGAUUUCGCAGCCGACGCCGACGUUGGCAGAGACGUCUGCGAAUAAAAUUCGCGCUUUUGGCUCUUGAUUUGGCACAGACAUUGAGCAUUUGAUCGCCAACUGCCGGCAAACGCGGUCCGGUUUCGCUCUCUCUAAUUCUCCACCAUAGUCGCCAAAGUGUUCCUCUUUUUCUUAGCAUUUUUGCCUUCGCCUUCACCGACUUUGGUUUAUCUCUGUCGGUGGAAAAUCGGGGCCCAUAGCCCCAUAGCCAUAGCACAUAGCCGCCAUACAAAAUAUAAAGCCAGACAGUUUCUGGGCUGUCGCACAGUUCAUUUUGCACCAAAUGGGAGACAACAACGAGACGAAGAGAGCCAAUAAAAAAAAAAAAAAAAAAUGGUUAAAGAAAUUCACAAAUUAAACUUUACUCGCGCGAGUGAGUGUCCGUGUGAGUGCGUCAAGGUGUGAGCGCGUGUGUGUCUUCCAACAAAAGCCAACAAAUGCAACGGAAGUUGUCAAGCCAUAAUCCAAGAAAAAGUUCAAAAACGGAACUACCAAACAUAUUGUGAAAUUCGAGCGAGAAAGAGAGAAAUGGAGGUGGCGACAAAAUCCAACGUGCUUUCUGGAACUUCUGGGUUUUUAUAUUUUCUACCAAAAAGGAAUUAAAGCACUGAAAAGAAACGAAGAAGAAGAAUAAGAAGGAAAAAAAAAACGACAAUCGAACGAAGAAGACGUUUCAAAUUUAGAAUAUCAAGGGUCUGGCCAGGAAAGCA